CCAGCAAUUGCGGUUAUACAAACAGUAUAAUUUAAUUUUUUUGGUUAUUAGUUGAAUUAAUAUUUUGUAUUUUAAUUUUAAGUUUAUAAGGUGGAAUUUGUAAAUUUAAUAGUAAAAUAAAUUUUAUAUUUUGAGGCUAAGAAAUUCGUUGAUAAACUAGGAUUAGAUACCCUAUUAUUUUGAAUGUAAAUUUUUAUGCUGGGCUAGUAUAAGUUAUGUUCUUUAAAAUUAAAGAUUUUGGCGGUAUUUUAGUCCAUUCAGAGGAACCUGUCCUAUAAUUGAUGAUCCACGAGUUAAAGUACUUCUUUAAUGUUUGUAUAUCGUCGUAGUUUGAAUAUUUUUUAAGAAUAGUAAUGUUCAUGAUUUUUUUAGAAAAGAUAUCAGAUCAAGGUGCAGCUUGUAGAGAAGGAGAGAUGGGUUACAAUAAAUUUAUUUAGGAGAAUUAAAUAUUUUGUGAAGUGUUAUGAAUUUGGAUUUGAGGGUAAUUUUAAUUAAAUAAUUAAAGUGAUUUAGGCUCUAAAAUAUGCACAUAUUGCCCGUCGCUUU
rnacentral:rRNA from 1 species